rnacentral:ncRNA from 1 species
CCGUAUAUUUUUCCGGUGGAUGCCCGCAGGGUUUAAUAGGGAGGCCGGUGAAAAGCCGGUGUGGCCCUCCCACAGUGAUCGGGGGAAAGGCCGCGUAAUGGCCGCUGCCACCCAUGGGAGUGGUUGGAAGCCGCGGCUGGAGGUCGAUCCGAAAGCCAGAAGUCCUGUUCGUCGAAAACCUCGACG